GACGCAGUGAUAGUGUGUAUCGGUGUUAUGCUAUGAUCAAUGCAUUCUUCCGAAAGUAUUCCCUGCAACAUGAAUCUGAGAAAAUGGGCAGUUGUCUUUCAUUCUAAGGUUGAAAUUCACAACAAUCAUUUUCCCUACAUGU